CCCUUCUCUGUUGAGCGCAGGCCGGUGACUUUCCUGUCUCCCCCUCUGUAGCACUGGGGUUUCAAACCCCAGUGUCCCCAUGCCUGGUGUGAGCUGUCUUUUCGUCUUGACUGUCAGACUGGAUUGAGUUACACAGGCUGAGCCAUACACACUAAUUGAAAGAGGAAGGCUUGCCCUGCUUAGGCUCUCUGGGAACUGCUCUUAUUCUCUGGUGGGUAUUUAGGGCCAGUGUGGAGGUUGGCACGGCAGCAAGAGCAAAUAUGCAUGUGGAGUAUUUUUUCAAAAUUCUUUGAUUGUCUGGAAUUGUAAAACUGAAAUGAGAGAAAUCUAGUCAUUGUUACAUGAAGGAAUAAUGGCUGGCAGCUGGCUAGCAGGGGCAGAAGUCAUUCCUUUGUUCCCAGCUAACAUGUGCAUGUGUGCAUCAGGCCUUCAUCCUACCUAACAUGUGCAUGUGUGCAUCAGGCCUUCAUCCCAGCUAACAUGUGCAUGUGUGUAUCAGGCCUUCAUCCUACCUAACAUGUGCAUGUGUGCAUCAGGCCUUCAUCCCAGCUAACAUGUGCAUGUGUGCAUCAGGCCUUCAUCCCAGCUAACAUGUGCAUGUGUGCAUCAGGCCUUCAUCCCAGCUAACAUGUGCAUGUGUGCAUCAGGUCUUCAUCCACACUAACAUGUGCAUGUGUGCAUCAGGCCUUCAUCCCAGCUAACAUGUGCAUGUGUGCAUCAGGCCUUCAUCCACACUAACAUGUGCAUGUGUGCAUCAGGUCUUCAUCCACACUAACAUGUGCAUGUGUGCAUCAGGCCUUCAUCCCACCUAACA